rnacentral:hammerhead_ribozyme from 1 species
AUCCGGCUGACGAGUUCCAAAAUAGGACGAAACGCGUGUCCUGGAU